UGACGAGAAAUAACGAGACCGUUCUCUACGAGGCCGGUCAUCGGAAUGGGUACAAUUUAAACCCUUUAACGAGUAUCUAUGAGAGGGCAAGUCUGGUGCCAGCAGCCGCGGUAAUUCCAGCUCUCAAAAUGCAUAGAAUUAUUGCUGCGGUUAAAAAGCUCGUAGUUGGAUCUGUGCCGGUGGACCCGGUCCACUCGAAAGGGUGCGCACUGGGCUCCCCGGCUUUCUGCUGGUUUUCCCGUCGUGGCCUUAACUGGUUGCGGCGGGUGGCUGGCGAUUUUACUUUGAACAAAUCAGAGUGCUUAAAACAGGCGUUUCGCUUGAAUGUUCGUGCAUGGAAUAAUAGAAAAGGAUUUCGGUUCUAUUUUAUUGGUUUUAUAGACUGAGAUAAUGGUUAACAGAGACAAACGGGGGCAUUCGUAUUGCUGCGUGAGAGGUGAAAUUCUUGGACCGCAGCAAGACGAACUACAGCGAAAGCAUUUGCCAAGAAUGUCUUCAUUAAUCAAGAACGAAAGUCAGAGGUUCGAAGGCGAUCAGAUACCGCCCUAGUUCUGACCGUAAACGAUGCCAACUAGCGAUCCGCCGGCGGAUGCAUUGCCCUGGUGGGGAGCUUCCCGGAAACGAAAGUCUUCCGGUUCCGGGGGAAGUAUGGUUGCAAAGCUGAAACUUAAAGGAAUUGACGGAAGGGCACCACCAGGAGUGGAGCCUGCGGCUUAAUUUGACUCAACACGGGAAAACUCACCCGGCCCGGACACCGUAAGGAUUGACAGAUUGAUAGCUUUUUCAUGAUUCGGUGGAUGGUGGUGCAUGGCCGUUCUUAGUUCGUGGAGCGAUUUGUCUGGUUUAUUCCGAUAACGAGCGAGACUCUAGCCUACUAAAUAGUCUGCACAUUGCUUUGUGUCGCAGUACUUCUUAGAGGGAUUUUCGGUGUACAGCCGCACGAAAUUGAGCAAUAACAGGUCUGUGAUGCCCUU
rnacentral:rRNA from 1 species